UUACGGCCACAUCACUUUAAAAGACCGGUUCCACCGAAGUUAAGCAAAGUCGAGCCUGGUCAGUACCUAGAUGAGUGACCGCUUGGGAAUCCCUAGUGCCGUAA